rnacentral:rRNA from 1 species
UGGGGAAUAUUGGACAAUGGGCGAAAGCCUGAUCCAGCCAUGCCGCGUGUGUGAAGAAGGUCUUCGGAUUGUAAAGCACUUUAAGUUGGGAGGAAGGGCAGUAAGCUAGUACCUUGCUGUUUUUGACGUUACCGACAGAAUAAGCACCGGCUAACUCUGUGCCAG